GUGGCUGAAUUUUAGCAUAAGUCAUGAUAUGUGGUGGUUUCAAGAUUAGCCCUGAGUUAACAUCUCCUGCCAAUCCUCCUCUUUUUGCUGAGGAAGACUGGCCCUGAGCUAACAUCCGUGCCCAUCUUCCUCCACUUUAUAUGUGGGACGCCUACCACAGCAUGGCUUGCCAAGCAGUGCCAUGUCCGCACCUGGGAUCCGAACUGCCGAACCCUAAGCCGCCGAAGCAGAACAUGCGAACUUAACCGCUGCGCCACUGGUCCACCCUCCUUCAGUUCAUUUUGCACAGUCUUAUGUAUGAUAUAAUUGCAUGCACCCUUUUCAAUUGAUAUGACAGGUUUAACAGAAAAUAUAGAUAUAUAAAAUAUUUUAAUACUUAUGUUUUUAGUUAUUUAAAAAUCUGAAAUUAUACUUAAACAUAAGUGGUAAUAAUAUUGUAGUGGCAUUGCUCGGCAUGUGAACAUAACACAUCCCCCAUAUAUAUCCAUUGUCAUUGCUAAUUCAAAAUGUUUAUCAUAUAUGUCAUGGAUAUAUCAUUUUUGAUUUCAAAAAUAAGAUUUUUGUUUCCAUCAAUAUAGGAUGGAUGUGCAGAGAAACCUCGGCUAAUAUAAAAUACUUUAAAAUUUUCUCUCUCUAUAAGCAUGUGUGUUUGUGUAUAGUUUCUUUUUAUUUAAAAGCACGGCUAAAUUUAUAUCAAAGUUAAGAAGGCUAGAAAUGGCAAG
rnacentral:lncRNA from 1 species